rnacentral:rRNA from 1 species
UUAUGCGAUACUUGGUGUGAAUUGCAGAAUCCCGUGAACCAUCGAGUCUUUGAACGCAAGUUGCGCCCGAAGCCCUCGGGCCGAGGGCACGCCUGCCUGGGCGUCACGC